UUGGCCGACUUUGGGAAGUCCUUUGUUUCCAACUGGAUAGAAGUGUGUGCUGCCCCGUAGUAUUUGAACCAAUUGCAGAAGACUGGAAGAAAAACUUGUGGAGAUCGGCCCACCAGGAUGACAUGACACCCUCAUUUGAAACCCACUUGCU